UACAGAGGUCUCGAGCGUUAGGCGGAAUCACUGGGCUUAAAGCGUGUGUAGGCGGAUCGGUAAGUACCUUGUGAAAUCCCACAGCUUAACUGUGGAACUGCUUGGUAUACUGCCAGUCUUGAGCCAGCUAGGGGCUACCGGAACAAAUGGUGGAGCGGUGAAAUGCGCAGAUAUUAGGAGGAACACCGGUGGCGAAGGCGCCGCUCUGGGCCGAAACUGACGCUGAGGAGCGAAAGCAUGGGGAGCGAACAGG
rnacentral:rRNA from 1 species